rnacentral:rRNA from 1 species
AUUGAACGCUGGCGGCAUGCCUUACACAUGCAAGUCGAACGGUAACAGGUCUUCGGACGCUGACGAGUGGCGAACGGGUGAGUAAUGCAUCGGAACGUGCCCAGUCGUGGGGGAUAACUGCUCGAAAGAGCAGCUAAUACCGCAUACGACCUGAGGGUGAAAGCGGGGGACCGUAAGGCCUCGCGCGAUUGGAGCGGCCGAUGUCAGAUUAGCUAGUUGGUGGGGUAAAGGCCUACCAAGGCAACGAUCUGUAGUUGGUCUGAGAGGACGACCAGCCACACUGGGACUGAGACACGGCCCAGACUCCUACGGGAGGCAGCAGUGGGGAAUUUUGGACAAUGGGCGCAAGCCUGAUCCAGCAUGCCGCGUGCAGGAAGAAGGCCUUCGGGUUGUAAACUGCUUUUGUCAGGGAAGAAAUCUUCUGGGCUAAUACCCCGGGAGGAUGACGGUACCUGAAGAAUAAGCACCGGCUAACUACGUG